rnacentral:rRNA from 1 species
UACGUAGGGCGCAAGCGUUGUCCGGAAUCAUUGGGCGUAAAGAGCUCGUAGGCGGCCUGUCGCGUCUGCUGUGAAAUCCCGGGGCUCAACCCCGGGCGUGCAGUGGAUACGGGCUGGCUAGAGGCAGGCAGGGGCGAACGGAAUUCCCGGUGUAGCGGUGAAAUGCGCAGAUAUCGGGAGGAACACCGGUGGCGAAGGCGGUUCUCUGGGCCUGUACUGACGCUGAGGAGCGAAAGCGUGGGGAGCGAACAGG